rnacentral:lncRNA from 1 species
GUUUUUGAUUUUUAAUGCUUAUAAGUUAUAUAGCAUCAAGUCUGUAAUACCAGAAAUAUCUAUACCUGUUAUAUUAGCUGUAAAAAAAAUGAGCAGAAAAAAAAGAAGGGGUAUUUAUUACAAUGAUAUAUGUCUACACUAAAGACCGGAUGAUAAGUAAUCAAAAAUAAGUCGACGUAAUUCCUUCAACAAUCAGCAAAACCCAUAUUGAAAACGAACGGCUUGAAUGUAUGUAAAAACAUUUGCAAUAUUUAUGCCGACGAAAAUGACUGCAAUAAUACAUAUAUUUGAUCAAAUUUUGUUAAAACAAAAUAAUUCAAAAUAUAAAUAGAAGUCCUUAACCAAACAGAUAAUAGACGGUUGAUACAAAUUAGAUUGAUGCUAUUAAUGUUUUCUGUUGUGUAACCUGAUGAAGGAAAAUCAGGAAAAGCACACCUGACGCACACUAUUAUUAUAGUGUUAUUUUCACCACCUUAAUACCUAAAUCAAUGUACAGUGUCAAACUCACCAAUAGAAUUGUUCAAGC